GACGUAGGGCGCGAGCGUUGUCCGGAUUUAUUGGGCGUAAAGAGCUCGUAGGCGGCUUGUUGCGUCGACCGUGAAAACCCGGGGCUCAACUUCGGGCUUGCGGUCGAUACGGGCGGGCUAGAGUUCGGUAGGGGAGACUGGAAUUCCUGGUGUAGCGGUGAAAUGCGCAGAUAUCAGGAGGAACACCAAUGGCGAAGGCAGCUCGCUGGGGGUGUCCUGACGCUGAGGCGCGAAAGCGUGGGGAGCGAACAGG
rnacentral:rRNA from 1 species